AAAACCCCAAAACGUCCUACUGAAUGCCCCACAAUUUAUUUGGUUUAUUCUCUUAAUCAUGUAUUAUCACUAUUGGGGGGGGAAAGAGCAUUUACCCAGGCAUAACCAUGAGUCGAGAGAGAGGUAGCUAUGAAUACUACCUCUAUCAGCAAGAAACUGCAGUCACUAUUUCACUUACAUGACAGGAGAGUCCAGCUCUGGAUUAUCUGAAAGGAGAUCAGUACAGAGCCAAGAUCUUAGUGUACAGAGUAAUGAUUUUGGUAGCAAAGAAUUCAAAACACAGCUGUUAUAUCUGAAGGUUUGCACCUCCCUUAUAUUUAACAUGUCUUGUAUUUUCAUACCUGAAUCAAGUUUUAUAGCCCAGCACCCAAAAUGCCUCAGAGGAUGCUGAAAAGAAACAGUACACAGAGCAAAAUUCUAUAGCCCUGACGCUGAAAAAAUAUGCAAGCUCCAAAACUGAAAACGAGCUCUUUUUCCACGGCAGUGGAAGGGCUUACAAGGUGGCAAGACGUAUUUUUGCCCUCCAUGACAGUGGGGCAGAAGUGCCACCGUGCUUCUGGAAGCAUGGAAACGCUCAUGACUAGAAACACUGCAGCAGCAGCAGCAGCAACGCUGCGGGCCCAGCUAAGCAGGCUUUGUGCCGCUCGCCGCGAGCGAUGGGGGAUCUGGAGUGGGCCGUGAAGAGUUUCAGGGCCACAAAUCACUCGAACAGACAUGGAACGUGUCGCUAGAUGGGCCUCGGACAGGGAUGUAGCUCCUCCUUUUGGGGCUGUGGAAAAGUAAGAGUAAAUGGGCAGGGCCACCCCUCCUGCCUGUACUACCUCCCGCACACAAAGCCCCUGCCCCUCAUCUGGUGUCACUGAAAGACGAGGGACCGAGGGCAGGAGGAGGCAGAAGUCCCAGAGGGACAGUGCUGGGUGCACUCCACAGGGCUCGGCCGCCGGCAGACACCCGGGAAGCGGCACAGAGCCCAGCCACGGGGAGGCAGGGACAGCUGCCUGAAGAUGACCCGAGUUCUUUAGAGAUUGACGCGGGGGAAGGCUCCCGACCGUGUGGAAGGCCGCACCGCUGCCAUUUCCAUGCCUGCUGCUGGGAGCCCAGUGGCCGUUGCCACCUGUCACCCUGCCCUGCUGCCAGGCCCCACGGUUGCCAUGGCUCUUCGUUACCAACACAAACCGCCUCCUCCAGGGAGACAGACCAUGGGUGAGCAUCCAGAGCCCGCAAGAUGCUCCCCGGUACGAACAUGGCUCCAACUCCAGUCAUCAUAUCUGAGGGUCAGCUCCCCCUGGGACCUGUCCCUAGGCACACCUGGAUCCAUGAAGACACUCCCCCGGACAGCCUGGACGAGGCCUGCCACGAGAUCUGGAAACGGGUUCAACUGCUCGCUGACAGGCUGCACGCGCCGGUGCUGGUGCCGCCGCUGCAGCACAUCCUCUGCUCCGAGCUGUCUGCGACCUUUCAAAAACACCGCAUCGACUCCCUGAGCAGCAACUACUUGCCAGAUGAACCAGAGGGACUCAAAAGUAUAUGCAAAGCAAUGAUUGGAAACAGAGAAAGGGAGAUGAAAUUAAGAGCUCUCUGUAAUGCUCAGCUUUCUGCUAAACCCAUGAUCCCCAGCCUUCUGCGUUCAGUAAAUUCCCAGAAGAAUUCCAAGGGGCUGGAGGGUGGCAGCGUGACAGGCGCUCACAGCGUGGAGGGCAGCAAGCUGGAGUUGCCAUUUCUACUGAAACACACAGACUCUGCCAAAGGUGCAGACAAUCAGGUAACAGCUGAGGAAACAAAGGAAGCGAAGCAGUUGAUACAGAACAGCACGUCCAGCUCUGCCAACAGUAGUACAACUGUGUCAUUAACAACAACAGCACAAAGUCAAGCUCCAGGACAGAAGCAGCAGCUCCUACCAUCUGCUGAGAUUUGCUCCAAAACAGAUUCUGAUGCAGUCACAAAGAAUCCAGUAACUACUACAGCACUGGAUAAAAAAAAAAAAAAAAUGCUGAACGCAAUGCAAGUACUUCAGGCUUUUCUACUACUUCACUGACCACAGCAUCACAUCAGCUGGCGCAGCAGAGCCUGAGCUUCCCUCCAUUUUCCAUCUUUACCAACCACUCAAACUUUUUUCCACAGUUUCAGGUAGCUCUAUACAGCCCACAGCACGUUUUCCAGCCACCUUACACUCCAAUGUUGAACUACAUCCACCUGGUUAUCCAUACCAGCAGAUGACCUUACCAGCAACAUCCAGCAACAUCCAGGAUCUACCACCAAUGGCAGGCAAUGGGAUCCAGAAUCCAUUUUCUCUUUCCUAUGGGUAUGGCGAUGCAGAUUUGCUUUCUGUUUUUUUCAGUACUUUAAGGAGAGUUAAGGACAGUGAACCUGCGUGGAGCUAAAGACUUACUCAGCAGUGGCUUUCCCAGUUACAUUCUCACCAAAUUCCAAAUCUGAACAAAAUACAAGAUUUUACUAUAAGGUCUAAAUUCUAAAAUUUUGGUACAAAACCAAGGUAAUUAGUUUUGGGUGAAUGAAGCUGAAACACUGUGCUAUACGAGAUGCCACCUACAACUUCCAAUCAAUAUUAUGGAUCAAAAGUAUAAACACCCUUAACUUAAAAAGGAAACGCUUCAACAGGCUAGAAACCAAAAUAUUCUAACACUGUCAGAAUGAAACUAAAGGAUUCAUUUUGAUACCUUCUUAUGAAAACUGUAGUUCAAAUCAACAUAUUCCGAGGUUGCUAAAAUAAUGGCAAAAUCUGGUAAAAUGAUCUCUGGAGAUUCAAGUUCUAUAUAUCAUCUUCUGUUCAAUGCUUAUGGGAUAGACAGGAAUAGCACAUACUUCCCCCCUAGAUCACCUUCCCAGAAACCAGAUUACACAUUAAAAAAAAAAACCAACCAACCAACCAAAAAAAAAAAACACCCAGCAUAUAAAUGCUUCCAAGAGCUCCAUUAUUAGGAAGAACAAUUAAUUUGAAGUUAGAUGUAAUCUCCUGAAGCUUGACUAACUUACAUUUUCUGUUUUAGGUUUAGUUCUGUACCUGGAGGAUCUGCGACAACUAACCUCAACUACCUUCCAGCAAGUGCUAUGUAAAAUUUUAAGUGAACAGAGUUUUCCUAUCCUAGCAUUCAGAGGAAGACCUACUGUCUAUUUAUUAUAGGUUCUAUGGUCCUAUACAGAUUUCAUGUUUUGCCCGAUGUGAACAUUCCCAUCUAGAAUAAUCCCCUAUGAUUUAUAGGGUAAGAAACAGCUGCAUGACAAUUCAACUGAAAUAUUUUUUUUUUAGGAUGACAGAAUAAGAAGGGGCUUUUUUUGUUUUGGAAGACUGAGACAAAUAAUAAAAAAUGUUUAUAUACGACAAAUGCCCAAGUUGCUUUGAAUUGAGUGUUGGUGCAGUAAAGAUGGUUGAUAGAAGAGUCUUGGCCACAAAUUUCAGAGAUACUAACUUCAGUUGUAUAUUCAAAGUGAGAUUAACACAAAACACAUUCAACAGCUGAGUGGUGCAGCUCCAUGCAUGACAUGUUCCUGUCUUAUUACCUCAAACUCUUAACGCUAAUCCAGAUGCUAAUUUGACUCUUAAUAGUAAAGAAGAUCAAGCCAUAUAGCUUGUAUGGAGAAUCCUGCUUAACUAUAUUCCCUUGGUUAUUUAACUCAGGAAUUUCAAGGCUCUAACUUUUGACAAGGAGCCUUUGCCCCUGCAAAACAGCUUCUGCUUUGUCUGGAGCCUGCACCCUUCCUGCGAAGGGAGAGCAGCCAGGAGUCUCUAGAGAAUGGCUGUGGCCAUCUGUCUGCUCCAUUUCAGCCACACUUUGCUGGUUUGGAAGUAGAAGAGUGAUUAGACAGGAUUCUACAGCCUGCAUGAUACACGUCAGAACAAAUUAUCACAAAAGUCUCUCCCAGCCUUAAAACUAGUGAAUAAGGUGUCAGCCGCAAAGAUCUGACAGUUUGCAAUCAUCCAGCCCUACACCCAGCAGUAUGUGAGUCAGUCUGCUUUUACAUUCAAGGAGACGUAUUUACACUUUGCUUAAGAAGGAUAUUGCACCCAUACAAGUCAAGAUUUGAAACUAACUCUACACCGCUUAACAAAAGCCUGGGUAUUUCACAAAUAGUUAUAGGUCCUAAGAAAUACAAAGCACCACGCAUUCCUGGAGGAGCCAAAAGGACCAAAUACGCUUAACCUCUGUGGGCAAAGCUCUUUCUAAGAGGACAGGCUUGAAUAGCAGCUCACAAUACAAGCAAAAAAUGGAGCACACUUCCAUUCACCAAGCUUUAGACUUGGCCCCAGAUACAUAAAUACCAGCUUUUUUUCCUCUCCUGGUAAAUAACAAUAAUCCUGUCACUUUUAAAAAAUUAGCUCCUCCUUCCCUUUAAUUGUAUUUAAUGUAAAUAAUACAACCUAGUUGUAUAGACUUAGCUGUAGCUAGUAAAGAAUUCACAGGGUACGUUUACUCCCUAUAAGGUUGUUAAGCAAUUUUACAGCGAUCCUUCAGGUGACA